AACGAACGCUGGCGGCAUGCCUAACACAUGCAAGUCGAACGAGACCUUCGGGUCUAGUGGCGCACGGGUGCGUAACGCGUGGGAACCUGCCCUUAGGUUCGGAAUAACUCCCCGAAAGGGGUGCUAAUACCGGAUAAUGUCUUCGGACCAAAGAUUUAUCGCCUUUGGAUGGGCCCGCGUUGGAUUAGCUAGUUGGUAGGGUAAAAGCAUACCAAGGCGACGAUCCAUAGCUGGUCUGAGAGGAUGAUCAGCCACACUGGGACUGAGACACGGCCCAGACUCCUACGGGAGGCAGCAGUGGGGAAUAUUGGACAAUGGGCGAAAGCCUGAUCCAGCAAUGCCGCGUGAGUGAUGAAGGCCUUAGGGUUGUAAAGCGCUUUUACCCGGGAUGAUAAUGACAGUACCGGGAGAAUAAGCUCCGGCUAACUCCGUG
rnacentral:rRNA from 1 species